GGGAAACUGCCCGAUGGAGGGGGAUAACUACUGGAAACGGUAGCUAAUACCGCAUAACGUCGCAAGACCAAAGAGGGGGACCUUCGGGCCUCUUGCCAUCGGAUGUGCCCAGAUGGGAUUAGCUAGUAGGUGGGGUAACGGCUCACCUAGGCGACGAUCCCUAGCUGGUCUGAGAGGAUGACCAGCCACACUGGAACUGAGACACGGUCCAGACUCCUACGGGAGGCAGCAGUGGGGAAUAUUGCACAAUGGGCGCAAGCCUAAUGCAGCCAUGCCGCGUGUAUGAAGAAGGCCUUCGGGUUGUAAAGUACUUUCAGCGAGGAGGAAGGUGUUGUGGUUAAUAACCGCAGCAAUUGACGUUACUCGCAGAAGAAGCACCGGCUAACUCCGUGCCAGCAGCCGCGGUAAUACGGAGGGUGCAAGCGUUAAUCGGAAUUACUGGGCGUAAAGCGCACGCAGGCGGUCUGUCAAGUCGGAUGUGAAAUCCCCGGGCUCAACCUGGGAACUGCAUCCGAAACUGGCAGGCUAGAGUCUUGUAGAGGGGGGUAGAAUUCCAGGU
rnacentral:rRNA from 1 species